rnacentral:rRNA from 1 species
AUUAGAUACCCUGGUAGUCCACGCCGUAAACGAUGAUUACUAGGUGUUGGGGGACCAAGGUCCUUCGGUGCCGGCGCAAACGCAUUAAGUAAUCCACCUGGGGAGUACGUUCGCAAGAAUGAAACUCAAAGGAAUUGACGGGGACCCGCACAAGCGGAGGAACAUGUGGUUUAAUUCGAUGAUACGCGAGGAACCUUACCCGGGCUCAAACGCCGCCGGACAGGAAAAGAGAUUUUCCCUCCUACGGGUCGGCGGCGAGGUGCUGCAUGGUUGUCGUCAGCUCGUGCCGUGAGGUGUCGGCUUAAGUGCCAUAACGAGCGCAACCCCUGCGGGCAGUUGCUAACGGAUAAAGCCGAGGACUCUGCCCGGACUGCCGGCGCAAGCCGCGAGGAAGGCGGGGAUGACGUCAAAUCAGCACGGCCCUUACGUCCGGGGCGACACACGUGUUACAAUGGGGCGGCACAGAGGGAAGCCAUGUGGCGACACAGCGCGGAACCCGAAAACGCCUCUCAGUUCGGAUCGGAGUCUGCAACCCGACUCCGUGAAGCUGGAUUCGCUAGUAAUCGCGCAUCAGCCACGGCGCGGUGAAUACGUUCCCGGGCCUUGUACACACCGCCCGUCAAGCCAUGGAAGCCGGGAGUGCCUGAAGUACGCGACCGCAAGGAGCGUCCUAAGGUAAAACCGGUGACUGGGGCUAAGUCGUAACAAGGUAC